rnacentral:misc_RNA from 1 species
GAGAAGAACGCAGCGAACUGCGAUAAGUAAUGUGAAUUGCAGAAUUCAGUGAAUCAUCGAGUCUUUGAACGCACAUUGCGCCCCCUGGCAUUCCGGGGGGCAUGCCUGUCCGAGCGUCAUUGCUGCCCUUCAAGCCCGGCUUGUGUGUUGGGUCGUCGUCCCCCCCGGGGGACGGGCCCGAAAGGCAGCGGCGGCACCGCGUCCGGUCCUCGAGCGUAUGGGGCUUUGUCACCCGCUCGAUUAGGGCCGGCCGGGCGCCAGCCGGCGUCUCCAACCUUCUAUUUUACCAGGUUGACCUCGGAUCAGGUAGGGAUACCCGCUGAACUUAAGCAUAUCAAUAAGCGGAGGA